rnacentral:rRNA from 1 species
CGGUGGAGGAUGUGGUUCAAUUCGAGGCCACGCGAAGAACCUUACCUAGUCUUGACAUGGUUUANAAUCNUCCUGAAAGGAGAGCCGCUCUUACAGGUGUGACGAGCGAAACCCUUGUCCUUAGUUACCAGCGGGAUGUCAAGUCUCAUGGCCUUUAUGACUAGGCUGCAUACAUGGCGCGUACAAGCGACGCAAACUCGCAAGAGCCAGCAUCGCAAAAAUCGCGCCUCAGUUCGGAUUGCAGUGCAACCCGCCUGCAUGAAGCUGGAAUCGCUAGUAAUCGGGGUCAGCAUACCGCGGUGAAUGUGUUCCUGAGCCUUGUACACACCGCCGUCAAGCCACGAAAGUGGGGGGCGCCCAACAGCGUUGUCGGAACCCGCAAGGGACCAAGACGCCUAAGCGAACUCCNUGAUUGGGACUAAUUCGUACAAGGU